rnacentral:sRNA from 1 species
UUGACCCAUUGAUAGAAUUUUUUAUUUGGGUUAAUCUAAAUGGGCCAUUUGGGCCCAAUAGCUACAGAACCAUGAUCUUCAACCUAAACCCUAAAGCCCCUUCUUCUCUCUUUCUGCGACUCUAUCAGUGAAUCGAUUCCAACAAGCAUCGAAGCUCGGGAAUUGAAUUGAAUUUCUUUACCUAGUGGUGAGGUUGCAGAUUGGAAGAAGAUGAAAAAGGGUGUUCAUCCACAGAAGCAAUGGAUAUCCUACGUUACACAAACAGGUAGGUUGAUGCAUGUGAUGAUGACAAAGAUACACCCUGUUGGAAAAGUCUACCACUUCCGGGCUAAGCGUCAAAUGGCCGAGAGUUUAGGACAGAUUGCUAAGUUCAGACGCCGCUUUGGUCUAGAAAAUCAAGCGGCCAAUGAAAAAUAACAAUUUCAGUGGGCAGAAGGAACUUUGGCUUUUCAUUUUGGAAGAGAAUAACAGGUAUAUUGGUGGUAUACUCUCAAUCAGGUUCUUUUGUAGCAUUCAACAUGUCUAGUUAAUCUGCAGAAAUGUUUCAUAUCAAGUGAUGUCUUUAGCAGUUGAUAUUUGCUUGUGGGUUUAUUAAUGCAAAUUCAAGCUAGAGAUCUUUGUCGACUCUUUUGCAUAUUACGAGGAAAUUUAUUGCUGGGCACUAGGUUAGCCUGAUGCUUAUGUUGAAGGGUGAAAUUGCUAGUUUGAAUUGAACAACGGUAUCUAGUGAUUGUUUAGUUUCUUAGUAUAAAUCUUGUCUGAAACAACCAUCUGCAAUAUGCCUAUUUUAAUUUGUUCUUUGAUCGGCUCUCUAUUAUCUGGCAUUAUCUGUGUCUGUUUAGAAGUUUUAGAGAAGGUUAAGAAUUACCAUAUUUUAAUCUUGCAUAACAUCCCAUGAUUGACAAUGGAGGAAAAUAUGGAUUAUUUAUAUGGUAGGAUAAGUUUCCUGCAGCAGAAUAUGAUUUUUGUACACUGUCAAGUCAAAUUCAGCUUAUGCACCAAAAGAAUAUAUCAUCAAUAUUUAUUCUCUCAUAAGACUCUUAGCUCUUAUUGUUACCAAGCCACUUCCAAUAAUAAGUGAGGAAAAUAGAAUAACAAACCAAAUAUGUAGUGACGUGCAAAAAUUCGAG